rnacentral:lncRNA from 12 species
GGGGAAGCUUAGCAAAAACAACAGAUUUACUAAAAUUUCAACUAAAAUUUAAANAACUGUAGGUGGGAACGGUCAGUUUCUUCACAGGGAAGGUUUUCAGUGUAACACAGUCUGGAUCUGAACAGAUAAGAGAUGGUUUGAUCAGCAGAUGUUUGAGAGCUUUCCUCUCAUCUGCAGGAGUCCUGAUCAUCCUGAAGAUCAUCGAGAAACAUCAAUCAUGGACUGAUCGCUGAGCUGUGUGUUUUGUUUGCCUCUUCUCUUCCUCUCUGCAGGAUGUUUUAGUGAACGUGUUACCUUGCUUCAGGUAAAAUCUGUCAUCACUCUGGUUGGGACUGACGUACUUUCAGUUUGUGUGUGUGUGUGUGUGUGUGUGUGUGUGUGUGUGUGUGUGUGUGUGUGUGUGUGUGUGUGUGUGUGUGUGUGUGUGUGUGUGUGUGUGUGUGUGUGUGUGUGUGUGUGUGUGUGUGUGUGUGUGUGUGUGUGUGUGUGUGUGUGUGU